GUUUUUAGUGGAGAGUUUGAUCCUGGCUCAGGACGAACGCUGGCGGCGUGCUUAACACAUGCAAGUCGAACGCUGAAGCUUGGUGCUUGCACUGGGUGGAUGAGUGGCGAACGGGUGAGUAUCACGUGAGUAACCUGCCCCUGACUUCGGGAUAAGCCUGGGAAACUGGGUCUAAUACCGGAUAUGACCAUCUUUCGCAUGUUGGGUGGUGGAAAGUUUUUCGGUUGGGGAUGGGCUCGCGGCCUAUCAGUUUGUUGGUGGGGUAAUGGCCUACCAAGACGACGACGGGUAGCCGGCCUGAGAGGGCGACCGGCCACACUGGGACUGAGACACG
rnacentral:rRNA from 1 species